UGGGGAAUCUUGGACAAUGGGGGCGAACCCUGAUCCAGCCAUGCCGCGUGAGUGAUGAAGGCCUUAGGGUCGUAAAGCUCUUUCGCCUGUGAAGAUAAUGACGGUAGCAGGUAAAGAAACCCCGGCUAACUCCGUGCCAGCAGCCGCGGUAAUACGGAGGGGGUUAGCGUUGUUCGGAAUUACUGGGCGUAAAGCGCACGUAGGCGGACCAGAAAGUUGGGGGUGAAAUCCCGGGGGCUCAACCCCGGAACUGCCUCCAAAACUAUUGGUCUAGAGUUCGAGAGAGGUGAGUGGAAUUCCAAGUGUAGAGGUGAAAUUCGUAGAUAUUUGGAGGAACACCAGUGGCGAAGGCGGCUCACUGGCUCGAUACUGACGCUGAGGUGCGAAAGUGUGGGGAGCAAACAGGAUUAGAUACCCUGGUAGUCCACACCGUAAAACGAUGAAUG
rnacentral:rRNA from 1 species